UACGUAGGUGGCAAGCGUUUGUCCGGAAUUAUUGGGCGUAAAGCGCGCGCAGGUGGUUUCUUAAGUCUGAUGUGAAAGCCCACGGCUCAACCGUGGAGGGUCAUUGGAAACUGGGGAACUUGAGUGCAGGAGAGAAGAGUGGAAUUCCACGUGUAGCGGUGAAAUGCGUAGAGAUGUGGAGGAACACCAGUGGCGAAGGCGACUCUUUGGCCUGUAACUGACACUGGAGGCGCGAAAGCGUGGGGAGCAAACGG
rnacentral:rRNA from 1 species